rnacentral:rRNA from 1 species
AGCUCCAAUAGCGUAUAUUAAAGUUGUUGCAGUUAAAAAGCUCGUAGUUGGAUUUCUGGCAGGAGGAGCCGGUCACACACUCUGUGUGUGAACUUGUGCUGUCUCUGGCCAUCCUCGGGGAGAUCCUGUUUGGCAUUAAGUUGUCGGGCAGGGGAUACCCGUCGUUUACUGUGAAAAAAUUAGAGUGUUUAAAGCAGGCUUAUGCCGUUGAAUAUAUUAGCAUGGAAUAAUAAGAUAGGACUUCGGAACUAUUUUGUUGGUUUGCGUUACGAAGUAAUGAUUAAUAGGGACAGUUGGGGGUAUUCGUAUUUCGUUGUCAGAGGUGAAAUUCUUGGAUUUCCGAAAGACGAACUACUGCGAAAGCAUUUACCAAGGAUGUUUUCAUUA